rnacentral:rRNA from 1 species
GACGUAGGGGGCAAGCGUUGUCCGGAUUUAUUGGGCGUAAAGAGCGUGUAGGCGGCCAUGUAGGUCCGUUGUGAAAACUCGAGGCUCAACCUCGAGACGCCGAUGGAAACCAUGUGGCUAGAGUCCGGAAGAGGAGAGUGGAAUUCCUGGUGUAGCGGUGAAAUGCGCAGAUAUCAGGAGGAACACCAAUGGCGAAGGCAGCUCGCUGGGACGUGACUGACGCUGAGACGCGAAAGCGUGGGGAGCAAACAGG